rnacentral:rRNA from 1 species
UACGGAGGGUGCAAGCGUUAUCCGGAUUCACUGGGUUUAAAGGGUGCGUAGGUGGGUUGGUAAGUCAGUGGUGAAAUCUCCGGGCUUAACUCGGAAACUGCCGUUGAUACUAUCAAUCUUGAAUGUUGUGGAGGUAAGCGGAAUAUGUCAUGUAGCGGUGAAAAUGCUUAGAUAUGACAUAGAAACACCGAUAGCGAAGGCAGCUUGCUACACAAUAAUUGACACUGAGGCACGAAAGCGUGGGGGAUCAAACAGG